AGGACGAACGCUGGCGGCGUGCUUAACACAUGCAAGUCGAGCGGAAAGGCCCUUCGGGGUACUCGAGCGGCGAACGGGUGAGUAACACGUGAGUAACCUGCCCUUCACUUUGGGAUAACCCUCGGAAACGGGGGCUAAUACCGGAAUACGACAUACCUUCGCAUGGGGUGUGUGGAAAGUUUUUCGGUGGGGGAUGGGCUCGCGGCCUAUCAGCUUGUUGGUCGGGUGAUGGCCUACCAAGGCGACGACGGGUAGCCGG
rnacentral:rRNA from 1 species